rnacentral:rRNA from 1 species
GACGAACGCUGGCGGCGUGCUUAACACAUGCAAGUCGAGCGGAGCGGCGAACGGGUGAGUAACGCGUGAGUAACUGCCCCACUCUCUGGGAUAACAGUUGGAAACGGCUGCUAAAACCGGAUAGUGGGGGAUGACUCGCGUCCUAUCAGCUUGUGGGUGGGGUAGUGGCCUACCAAGGGGACGACGGGUAGCCGGCCUGGGAGGGCGACCGGCCACAUUUGGCUGAGAUACGGCCCCAACGCCUACGGUGGGCAGUAGUGGGGAAUAUUGCACACGGGGGCAACCCCUGAUGCAGCGACGCCGCGUGCGGGAUGACGGCCUUCGGGUUGUAAACCGCUUUCAGCCAUGACGCGGUAGUGGCAGAAGAAGCACCGGCUAACUACGUGCCAGCCGCCGCGGUAAUUC